rnacentral:lncRNA from 1 species
GGGGCAGCAACCCAACAACGGGUUGUCCGAUUCAUCUGAAAAUUUCAUAGCAGAUAGAUCUUGACCUGAUAAACAAUUUUACCCCAUGUCAGAUUUGCUCUAAAUGCUUUGGUUUUGAGUUAUAAGCCAAAAACUGCAUUUUACCCCUAUGUUCUAUUUUUAGCCGUGGCGGCCAUCUUGAUUUGAUGGCCAGGUCACCGGACACAUUUUUUAACUAGAUACCCCAAAGAUGAUUGUGGCUAAGUUUGGAUUAAUUUGGCCCAGUAGUUUCAGAGAAGAUUUUUGUAAAAGAUAACUAAGAUUUACGAAAAAUGAUUAAAAAUUGACUAUAAAGGGCAAUAAAUCCUAAAGGGGUAAACUGACCAUUUCGGUCAUGUUGACUAAUUUGUAAAUCUUACUUUGCUGAACAUUAUUGCUGUUUACAGUUUAUCUCUAUCUAUAAUAAUAUUCAAGAUAAUAACCAAAAACAGCAAAAUUUCCUUAAAAUUACCAAUUCAGGGGCAGCAACCCAACAACGGGUUGUGUGAUUCAUCUGAAAAUUCCAUGACAGAUAGAUGUUGACCUGAUAAACAAUUUAACUCCAUGUAAGAUUUGCUCUAAAUGCUUUGGUUUUUGAGUUAUAAGCCAAAAACUGCAUUUUACCCCUAUGUUCUAUUUUAAGCCAUGGCGGCCAUCUUGAUUUCAUGGUCAAGUCACCGGACACAUUUUUUAAACUAGAUACCCCAAAGAUGAUUGUGGUCAAGUUUGGAUUAAUUUGGCCCAGUAGUUUCAGAGGAGAAGAUUUUUGUAAAAGAUAACUAAGAUUUACGAAAAAAUGGUUAAAAAUUGACUAUAAAGGGCAAUAACUCCUAAAGGGGUCAACUGGCCAUUUCGGUCAUGUUGACUGAUUUGUAAAUCUUACUUUGCUGAACAUUAUUGCUGUUUACAGUUUAUCUCUAUCUAUAACAAGUGAAACUGCGAGCUACUGCUCACUGAUGAUACCCCCGCCGCAAGUGGAUAAUAUUAAUAGUGUAAAAAAUAUCAAGUGUUCGGUAAACAGGAAGUUGUCGAGUGAUGAAUCUGAAAAUGCAUCACACGGUAUAGCUGACUUAUAUAAAUCCUGAAACCAAAUUUCAGAAAUCCUUGUAUUGUAGUUCCUGAGAAAAAUGUGACGAAAAUUUUCAACUUGGCUAUCAUGUGUAAAAUCAUACAAGUGUUCGGGAAACAGGAAGUUGUCAAGUGAUCAAUCUGAAAACGCAUCACACAGUAUAGCUGACUUAGAUAAACCCUGAAACUAAAUUUCAGAAAUCCUUGAAUUGUAGUUCCUGAGAAAAAUGAGACGAAAAAUAUUCAUGGGACGGACGGACUGACGGAGGACAGACAGACAAGGUAAACAGUAUACCCCCCCUUUUUUAAAGCGGGGGUAUAAUAACAUUCAAGAUAUUACAAAAACAGAAAAAUUUCCUUAAAAUUACAAUUCAGGGCAGCAACCCAACAACGGGUUGUCUGAUUCAUCUGAAAAUUUCAGGACAGAUAGAUCUUGAGCUGAUAAACAAUUUUACCCAUGUCAGAUUUGCUCUAAAUGCUUUGGUUUUUGAGUUAUAAGCCAAAAACUGCAUUUUACUCCUAUGUUCUAUUUUUAGCCAUGGCGGCCAUCUUGUGUUUGCCGGGUCACCGGACACAUUUGUUAAACUAGAUACCCCAUUGAUGAUUGUGGCCAAGUUUGGUUUAAUUUGGCCCAGUAGUUUCAGAGGAGAAGUUUUUUGUAAAAGUUAACGACGACGGACGAGGACGCCAGACGCAAAGUGAUGGGAAAAGAUCACUUGGCCCUUUGGGCCAGGUGAGCUUAUAAAAAUGAACGGAAAUGUACAUAAAAACAAUUUCAUUACAAACUUGUAAUAUUCCAGCAUUGAAUGCUUUAAAUCCAGACUAGGAACAUGUACAACCAAUGAUUACAAUGCUGUUAAUUAUUUUAAGCAAGGACAAAUUUUUGGCAUUUAAAGUAACAGUGAGGGAAAAUUAGCACCACCAGCACAUACCAUAUUACUUGAGGGCAUGAUCCAGCCGUUCAGGGGGUCCAAACUCAGGAUUAAAGAGGGAGUGUUCCAAUCAAAUGUCCCUAUUCAAAUGCAUUGAUCGUCCAAAAAAAAUACCCCUAAAACCCCGCCCCCUGUACUACCACUGUACUUGAUGGCAUGUUGUAAACUAUUUUUAUUUGUAAAGAGCUAUGGUUACUAAGUUUUCGCCUCUUCUAAGUAAUUUUUAUAGUAAUAACAGCCAUAACAUAAACAAUCUUUGACAGUAGUCUUCUAAGAAUGGUUUUUGAUAUAUUUGAAAGUAACUAGCAAAGAUGUUGCAAGAUAUUUUUAGUUACAAAGAACAUACAGAUAUCAUGUGAAAAUGUUGACAAAGUGAACUGAAAAAGAUACUGGUGUAUUCAACAAUAUUGUGGAACAUUUCAAUUUGAAAUAAAAAAUUAAACUGCUGCAUGUAAUAUUACAGUUUACACUCCAAGACACUACAAUGCCAGAAAUUCAUAAAUAUUUCCAAUAAAUGCUAGACUGUGUUUAUAUAUUUUUGUGCAGCCCUGCGACUUCCAAAAGGGAAUAACCAGCAAAAUGGAGUACCAUCGCCACAUAAGUCUUUGUAUUGUGCAUAUGCUGGGUUACUUUUUGAUCUGAAAAAAAAAUAUAUAUUAAGUAGUUACAAUAGUAAAUAUAUAUUUCAAAAUAUUCAAAAU